rnacentral:lncRNA from 1 species
GUGUUUGAUGGUCGAGCAAUCUAUUUCUCUCUGUCCAGGCUUUAGGUUUAAUUAAUUGUGUGUUGUUUUAUGUUUAUGCUAGUUAAUGUUGAUCUGCAUCGUAAUUAGCAAUCCCUUGCUGGAAAUAACAUGCCUUUUGGAGGUUGUUUUUGGUAUUUGUUGUUCAAAAUCGUAUUUUUUUCCCUUCCCUGAAUCUAGGAAGCUAGGAGAACCAAGCUAGCUCUGUUUUCUGUCUUAGGUCUGUUAAUUUCGAGGCUCAGUUUUAUUUUCUUCUUCAUCUUCUCUUCUUGUUGAUGUGGUUUUUAAUCUCCUUGUGUAAGAGCCCAUAUAUUUUUGGGCCUGGGCCGGUCUCUGGGCCACGGCACCGGCCCGACACGUGUGGCGGGGGAGGGAGACUCCCGAUCGGAGUCUUUUUUUCCUCCCCUGUUCCGACUCUCUCGCUCCGAGUCCACCGGAAGGAGGAGUCUAGGGUGAUCAAACCCUACCAAGUUUGAGCCGAUCUCCAUCUAUAAAGGAUCCUCUUCCCCUCCUCUUUGGCAUCGACCUUGAGAGCUCAGCUAUUGGAGGCUUGAUCGCUGGGCGUUCCGUGGGGGGAACUGGGUGGGUUCGCAGUCGAGCCGGCUGGAGGAGCUCGCCGGAGGCAAGGUGAGCUACCUCUCCUCCUUUUCCGGUUGUCGGGCCUUUGUUUCCCUUGUAUCCGGCCGGCAAGCGGCCGGAUUGACUGAGGACAAGCCUCCCCUGUUGCUUUUGUUUUCUUUCUCCCGUUGGCCGGCCAUCGCCCAGCAUGGCGCGCAGCCGGCACCUCCUUGGGCCGUCGAUCCCUGGGGUCGCCCCCCACGGGCGGCGGCUGCCGCCGAGCAUUCCCUCCGGGAAGAAGGAAGAAACACACAGAGAGAGAGAGAGCCUCCCGGUCCUUUCUUCCUCUUUCCUUGAUUUCUCUCUCCUCUCUCAAGUUUCUCUCUCUUCCGUUGGUGCUUUCACUCUCAUGUUUUGUAUAGGGCUAAAGCGUUCGGGCAGGAAGUAGCCCAACAAGAUCUUAUACACUAUUUUUUUUUUCUCUUCCUAUUUUUUUCUCUUAGUAUUUUUUCUCUCUAGCUUGGUCCGGGGAGAUCAUUAUUUGUGAGGACUGCUGGAUAGUCCUGGGUUGCUAGAUGAUGGUAGACCCUUUAGAGGAUCAAUAGAGGAUUCUAGAUUAUCAGAUAUCCGGAAUAAUUUUUAAUGUUGACUUGAUUUUGUAGGGAAACAAUUCGUUGGACAAGAGGACAUUGAGCAGGGUUCUGCGCACUCCGGUUCGUAGAUCGUGGAGUGGGCAGGCGAUUAGUUUAUCUGGGCCAACUUUAUUGUUUGGUAAGAAUUGAGAUUAUUAUUAUUCAAUAAUAUUGAGGUUAUGAUAUAUUUUUAGGUCUUGCAUAUUCUUUAGGGCUAUGCUAUAGGGAGUGUGCUACCGUGUCGCGUGCCGGACCCGGGUGCUGGGUUCGGAGCAUGACACCUUAUUUCUAGCUUGAUACAAUAGGUGGCACAUUACUGGAUAUGUUAUUGAUGUUGCAAUUGAGUUAUGUAAGUGAUGGUGAUUAUAUGCGCUCACCUGUAUCUGUGUAUUGGUAUGGUUGCUCUGCAAAUGGCUUAAUAGAGAUGGUAUAUUUGAUAUGAUUUUCUGUGAGCUAAUUCUGACAAUUGGCCUUUAUAUUUGCUGCUAUCUAUGAUUCAUCUUCAUUGGUAACUUUUUACUGUCUACCUUGGGCGUUUCAUUUUCUCUGUUCCUAUCAAUCUUGCGACACGGUAGCAGCCUUGAUUUGGAGGACAUAUUCUACCAUUCAUAAGCUUUGAGAUUAAACUUUGUUAUGGACCCAGAAACAUUCGUUUCUGCACGAACAAGAUCAUGGAAAUUGCUGUUUUGAAAGAAGCUUCUCUAAAUGAAUUCACUCUCUUUGCUAUAAGGAUAUCUUUCACGAUUUCAUUAGAUAAGCACAUUUGUUCAUGUUGCAGGCAUCUUUUAAGAUGGAGUAUAUUUUGUCACCUAUGGUUUCAUCCAUUGAGGGAAUUGAGGGAUCUUCAAAUCUAUAAUAGUUGUCAGCAAAUGGUGUGUACUUGAGUUAGUAGUUAAAAUGGUAAACUUUUUCUUGAGUGUUCUCUCUUGGCUGUAUGCUUAGAUUAGUGACAACAUAACUCACUUUAGCUAGCAAGUAAUUCUACUAGUCAGUUUACGUUCUAAGAGAAUGCUAUAAAGUGCACACUGGCAGCUUGCCAAUUACCUGUCUGAUGUGGCACGAGGGUAUUUGUGUGUUUCACAGGGUGUCGGUGAUCAUCUUUGGGGUAAAUUUCCUAUUUUGCCUCUGCCACACCAGCAUCACAUCAGAUUGAGCAAUCUGGUGGGUGCUCCAUGGCUUUUUCUAAAGGUGAAAAGAUGUGAAAAUGGCCUGCAUUCUUGUUACUCAGACUGUGCAAUGGAAACGAAGAGUCAGUAUUGCAGGGCUGAUGCUAUAUUCCUGCUUAGCAUAAAUUAUUUGAGCAGAGGAGAGAACACUGAUUUCUUCAUUUUUAGCUACUGCAUUUCUCAUUUAUGAAAGGUAAUAAAAUUGCAGCUAUAGCAACCAUUUCAUCAAAAUCUCUCUCUCUCUCUCUCUCUCUCUCUCUCUCUAUCUAUCUAUCUAUCUAUCUAUCUAUCUAUCUCUGCUGCAGAAAUAGGCCUCACUUCUCAGUGCCUUUUGUCUGUUGACCAGCGGUCUUGUUAUGUUUGCAUUUAAGUUUCCAUGGAUCUUCUUGUUGAUUCUAGGAUUUACCUUUGUGUUGCCUUCUUGACAUCUGUGGCCUGCACCUCACAAUUUACUUUUCUCUCUCAGUAUCCUUGUUUACACCUGAUAUCGAGUGCCAGGCUUUUCUUUUCCCAUCUGUACUUGUACUUAAGCGCUUGCAUUCCUGAUAUACAUAAUUGUUCACUUCAAGUUUUUUGUCGCAGACAUUUCCAUCCCGAAAUGGAUGGGUACAUGGGUAGGAAAACUGCUGUGGGGCUUGUUUUUUCUAGAGGAGGUUCUAUCCUUGUUUUUAGAGAACAGAACUUUGAGGACAGAAGCAUCAAGCAUUGUAAUCGAUUAGCAUGCAGCACUAGGCUGCACUCCAUGAACGGCAUCAAAACUGGCAAUACAGAAAAGGUCAAAUAUUCGAGGGGGUUUUUUCACUCUAUGAACAGCAGGACGAUUACUGGAAGCUCUUCUAUAUCAUGUCAUGCCUGUGACCCUAGAAAGACUCAUCAAGAGCCACGGAGACAAACAUCUUUGCAAGGGAGAGCUAUUGCAGAGAGCAGUAAUAGGCAGAGGGAGAUUGAAGAUUUGGAUUGUGAAGGCAGAAGAUGGGAGGUAGACAACUUGGGAUAUCAUAGCAGACAGGAGGGGCCAGAAGAUUCUGAAUCCAUUCACAUAACUAGAUGCAAUCAGACUGUAUUUUCUGAUCGUGAUGACUUUGGACCUGUAAAUCCUCAAGGGCUUUCCAGAAAUGCAGCUGAAGCAUCGGGAAGCUGCAGCACUAGAUUGAAUUCAAGAGCGUGUAAGCAAGUCAGCCGGCAAUGCAGAUAUGGUGAUCAGGAAGCCUCGUCAAGUUCCUCCACCAGGCAUUCUUUUACAUCCAGAAAUGCCAGCCGGGCUGCUAGGCAUGCUUCAAGAGGUGGGGGAGCUGAGUCAAAGAAGUAUGAUCUCAAACAUCUUCGGUGCACAUCAUCAGAUAUUCUUCCAUCAGGUUGUUCUUCCUCCAAUUCUGGUGUUAACAGAAGGGUUAACACACUAAGAAAGAGAUCCUUGAAUGGAGGGAGUUUGUCAGCAAGAGGCCAAAGCAAGAAUGCAUUAAGUGGAGCAAAUUCGGGUUCUCCAAACAGAGGUUCUUCCAUCCAUGGCCUCUCUCUUCCAGAGCACUCGAUGCCUCAACAGGCUUUAAGAAGGACGGGUGCAGUCUUGGUAAGAACACGCCGGUCUCCUAGUGGGGUGACUAGAACAAGGUUAUCAGAAGAAAGAGAUCACCCUCUUUCAGCACCUGAGCCUGAAUAUAGCAGCACACAAAUGUUCAAUGUCCCUAUGGGAGAUGGAAAUGGCUGCCAGCACUUUAGCAUGGAAGGAAUUGCAGAGGUACUCAUAUCUUCUACUCUCAAAAUUGGAAACUCUCACAAAACUUAGCCAAUAUGUUGGUCGAAUUUUGAUGCCUAAAAUCCAGUAAGAAAAGAGAAAUUUACAGAGAUCAGAAAUCAGUGAUGUAACGACUAUCGUGUUCUUUCAUUUAAGCUGUUAACGGUUCUUGUAACUAAAAUUUUAUUUUCUUAUUUUAACAUAUCCUAAUGCUAAUUGUGUAACGAGCUUGCUCUUUGAACUAGGCAUUUGAAAAUGAAAGAGCUGCUUUCUGAUGUGCAGGUUCCGUUGCCACUGGAGAGGAUUGAACAGGAUGAGGAAUUAACUUAUGAGGUUUUUAAUCUCUUUUUUCUCCCGUCCGUUUUAUUUACCUAUUUAUUGACGAUGACUAUUUCAUAAAGCCAGUAAGGGAUUGGCCAAAAAUGAAUUUUUAAACUCAAUCCCUGACUGUGGGGAUGAAGCAUGGGUUUAAAGUCACAGUAUCAAUAACAAGAUUGCUAUAUUUCUUGCAGCAACUAUCGGGGCUAGUUUUGGAUGGCCUGAACUUCCACGAUCAACAUAGCGACAUGAGGAUGGACAUUGAUAAUAUGACAUAUGAGGUUCAUUCUAUUAUUUAAUUGCUUAUAUUGUCAUAGACUGAGUGAUUGCAGUUUUGUCUUCAUAAAGUGUUUUUAUCUUAGCCCUGCAUCUUGUUUAUGUUAUUGCCUGCAGUUGAAAACAAUAAAGGUAACAUACUUCUGGUUAAAGAAGAAUAGGAACUGCUUCUGGCUCUACCAGAAAUAUCAACUAAUAAAUGACCAGUGUUUUAAUUGCAGAUGUAAUUUUGAUUCAAACUGUAGGAAAUGGUCUUCAACCUUUUAAAGAUUGCUAACUAUGAAGCUAUCCCUCUGUUGCGAUCCUUAAUUUUUUUUUUUCCAUCUUCAGUUGUCCAUAGAUCACUGUGACUUUCUCCAUAGUUUAUAAAGUUGAAAUUCAAUAACAUAUUUCUAACCAAUACUAAGAUGGCCAUCGUCUCAAAUAUGUCACUGUUUUUUUUUCAUAAUUUUUUGGGAGGUUAUUUAUCUAUUAAAACUUCAGCUUUCGGAGUCUUUAAGAUUAUUUAUUGUUUGUAGGAUUUCAUUAACUUAUCCAAGAAAAUAUGUUUUGCGCGAGCAGGAAUUGUUAGCCCUGGAGGAGAAAAUGGGCACUGUCAGUACAGCCCUCACAGAAGAAGCAUUGUCAAAAUGUCUUGAAAGAAGCAUAUAUGUGUUUGCUUGCUGUGAGGAAGAUAUCAAAUGCAGCAUAUGCCAGGUUAUGCACACUUCUCAGAACUUGUUAUAAAAUCCGUACCAAUUUUUGCAUUUCCAAUAUGUACCUUCAUCUGACAUGGAAUACACCUCAUGGAAAAUUACCCUGCAAACUGUUCUUUUCCAUUUCAUUGUAUCCCACGAGCAAGGCAUUUACUCUUCGCAGCCAAUUUAUCAUGCCUCAUCUAGUCAUCUUUAUCAUAAACACAGGAAUUGGCUUUUCCAAUACGCAUCGUUGGCUAUAUAUAAGUCUAAUAUUUGCAUUACUGUGUACUAGUUUGACUUAUCAGAUGUGGUGCUUCUUUGUUUGCAUACCACAAAGCCUUUAGCUGGUGCAGCGGCUAUAGCUGUUGGACCAAAAACCUGUGCUUGUUGAGUUUGUUUAUUCAAGGGGGAAAAUUUAUUAGUUUCCUUUCCAAAUUGAUCGAUAAUACAAAAUAGAAAACCCUGUAAGAAGAAGUCGCUUCAUGGAUUUUUAUUGCGAAAAAAAUAAAAGAGAAGAGGACGGUUGGUAAUCUGGUUUUGAUCUCAUCGCAAAUAGCGUAUGGUGCAUGACAUGGUGGUGAUGGAGUCCUCACCAUCAGAUCUCUGUUUGAUGCUCAUGUGCCUAUGUGCAGUUCCAAGGCCACUUGCUGCAGCAGGUGCUCAUGGUGGCCAAUAUUGCUGCAACAUGGGGGCUGAUUGCUCCUAAGAUAGUUUGACAUGGUUCUGUUUGUGAGGCGACGUGCCUAAUGUUUUCUUCUUUGUCUUCUGUUUUCUUUCAAUCUCUCUCUUUCAGGAAGAAUAUGUCGACCGAGAUGAGGUGGGCAAGUUGGCAUGCAAGCAUCGUUACCAUGUAACCUGCAUUCAUCAGUGGCUUCGGCAGAAGAACUGGUGCCCUAUCUGCAAAGCCUCUGCACGUCCAGUCUCCUGAAGCCCUCGUAGCUUAACCACUGCAACAAGGAUAGCUGAACUUACCUGUUUACAGCUCUCUCCUAUCUUUGUGAAUAACAUCAUCCUUCACAUUCUUUUGGAAUAAUGUGUAUAGAUCAUGGGGGCUUUUCCAAAUUAUUUUUUGCCGCCCCAAUUGUCAGCAAAACUGUGUUUUCUUCUUUUCUUUUUCUUUUUUUUGCUAGAGAAACUGUAUUUUCUUUAAGAAAGGAAAAAUGCUGUCAAUGGGAAACCUUCUUAUAUGGGGGCUUCCUGCUCCUAUUUGAUUUGUUUUGUUUUCCAUCAUUAAACUUAUAAAAUGGUGGUUUCAGGGUCAUUGCCUGAUUUUGUGAUGGUUGGCUAAGGGACAGGUCUUUUGUGGGUAGUGAUGUAUCCUGAAUAACCAUGUCAAUCACUGGAAUUAAAACUUCAAGCAAAAUUAAAACAAGCACAUGAACGACUUUCUUUCGUGUUUCUGUUAUGCAUGGAUAACAUUCCAUUGCAAUGAAUCAGUUGGUUGUUUUUCCAUUCUCUAAACCAAGGGCCUGCAUUCUUACUUAUUUAUUUUGACUCAAGGUUGUGUUUUAACUGCUAAGAAAUUGUGAUUUCUUUUUCUUUUCGGUGGAAGAAGACACAACACGAUCGACUUAUUGAGUACCCAUAGCAUCAGAGCACAGAUAAGAGUGCCAGAUAUCUUGCAAGAUUGGAUGAUAACACUUAUCCAAGUAACUGAGUCACCAUCAAAAGUAGCUGCCUUUCAACCAGAGAGAGACUCCAUGGCCCUCCUUCCAUUAAAAUGGAGGUCUUCAGUCAUGAACAUAGUGGACUUGAGGCUUCUUCAGGCUUCUUGCUUGACUUAUCUCACUCGUCUCUAUUCUCUUUAUUCCUUCCACUCCAUCCAUCGCCCACCGCUCGUCGGAUCUCACAACCUUUUACCAAGCUAGAACCAGGGAAAACUUGCAUGCCCUCACCCCUAAUUUGACGGGCUGAAUGCCUCUAAUCCUUGUAAUAGGACUACGGGCCAAAUGCCUGAUUUUUUUAAUAUCCUGUCACAUUAGCAGGAUCCCAGCCCUUAUGACAAAUGGCUAUCAACUAAGUGAGCCUGCAAUUUUUCGAAGUUCUCCACGGAUUCUGUGAGUCGUUGGGACUAUACAAGUAGAUAUUUUGUUUUUUAACUUUGGUGGAGCAGUGGAAUGGACACCCUUCUACUAAGGGAAGCUUGUGAAAGUGUAUAUAAACGAUGUAGUUCAUGGUCUGUGGCCUUCCAGUAACUACUAGUGGCUUGGGAGAUUUUAUGUCAGCCGACCAACAGUGGGGGGCUUGGAGUUCAUUCUCUGAUUGAGUGCCGGGAGGUCUUGGUGACCAAGCUGGCAGCCAGGUAUAUUCUAGAGCCGAAGAGUCUCUAAGGUGCUGUGAUGAGGGCGAAGUAUGGAGAUCCGGUUGACCGAUCAGUCAUUUGUAGCAGGCGAGGAUGCUCCUUCAUAUGGCAAGAGAUUUGCUAAAGCCCUGGUCGUAUCUCCGAUGAUCAGAUGAGAGAUCGGAGACAGACGGUCUAUUGACAUCCUAUAGGAUAGGUAAUUAUCCGAGAUUCCUCUGCGAGAUUGGCCCACCCUAAUUGAUCAGAGCUAGCUGGAGGAUGUAGGGUAUGUGAUCUUUUUGCCUAGGGGAACGGAGAUGGGAUGAGGCUCUUGUUAGGCUAGUUUUUGGGAUGUAGCUCGCGGAGCGGGGUCUUAUCUUUUUCGAUCCCUACAGGCGAGGCAGUGGACAGACAAGUCUGAAGUAUGACUGGAAGGUCGGCGGUGCGGGCCCGAGACUUGCCUGGGUUGGUCGGAAAGCCCUCAGCUUGGCAGAUUGAUGAAAGGUGGAUCUGAAGGAUGUACAUCCAUCCCUGUGUAGCACUAUUCAUUUGGAAGGUGGUUUAGGGGUGUUUACCUACUAGAGAGGUGCUAGCAAGCGAUGAGUGAGGAUUCCGUCAGCUUGCCCGAUAUGCUUGGAGGUAGAGGAAUCCAUAUACCAUGUGCUGAUAGAGUGCCCACGGGCCAGACAGAUUUGAGAGUGUGUUGUAGCUUAUCCCGACUAGCGGCAGAGGUGGAUGUUGAUCGAGAAGCUGCUGCACUUUCUGGCAGCCUCCCUAUAGGGACCUAGCUUCAUGGAGAGGGAGACGCGAGCCGCCUGCCCAGCGUACCACUGCUGGUUAGAUAGGAACGCCCGGGUCUUUGAGAGUAGUAACAAUCCUCCGAGGAUAGUGGCAAAUAGAGCUCUACAGCAAGUGGCGGAGAUUCUUGGCACUAUUGUGGUCUCAUAUUCUGAGAAUGCUGGAGAAAUGUGGGGCCCACAUUCUGCUCUUGCAUCGUUCAGGACUAGACUUGUCUCUUGGGUGCCUCCAUCCUCUGGUUAUCUUAAGAUAAACUUUGAUGGCAGUAUCGGUGACAGCCGGAGCUGUGGCGGUAUGAGCUUCGUUAUCAAAGACCAUAGUGCCAAACUGGUGGCGACCACGGGUCGACGUAUUUUUGACACGUUUGCUGUCUAUGCCGAGCUCAGAGCUGCUUAAGAGGGCAUUACCUUCACGAGGCGCAUUUUGGAUACAGAUCAUCUCCUCCUCGAGGGCAACUCGACCACAGUGGUCGAGUGGAUCCAGGGUUCAGGAGGCGUAGUAGAGGGUCGGCUGUUGCUUGACGACAUUUGCAGGCUCCUGGGGAAAUGUGACUUCUAUACGGCCACGCAUAUUUACAGGGAGGCAAAUUGUGCGGCUGACUGGGUUACAUCAUUUAUUGCCUACCAUUUUAGGGGCCUUAUAUGGGAAAACCAAAAGUCCCUGCCGAAGCCUUUUAGUGAGCUACUAUUUUCUGACUUUGUUGGCCGUAUUUACACCUGUUGCUUCUGAGCUGCCGUUGUACAGGAAAAAAAAAGAAACCUACUAGUUGACAAGGAUUUCUAAUUUGAUGCCCGCAAAUUGGAAAGGCUUUUUAGGUGCUCGUAGUUGCAUAAAGGGAAGCCGGCGCUUAGGCCACAGGUGAAAUUGUGUGAACAGUGAAAAUAUGAUCAUGGCAUCAAAUUAGCUAAGAAAUAUCUGUGUAAGCUCCCAACGAUCUGCUGCCAGAGUUCACGACUUUGUCAGCAAUUUCUUAUUGUCAUUUGAUGCCAUGCUUUGGAUGGACAUGUUGUUACAGCUGUUCCAAAUCGCUCGCAAGAAAAUCCCAAGCUCUACUUGCAGUGUUGCUCAUAGGUUUAGUUUCAAGAUUUUAUCAAACUGAUUGAAUGUUGCAUAUGAAAAAUCAAAGCCUAACGUCAACGUUUUUAAAAAUAUGUGAAGGAAAUUAGUGCUUGAGUGGAAAAUGGAUAUAGCAUUGUAUUGUAGCCCCGUAUCAACUAAUAAAAUAGGUGCCAUAUGGGUUUAUUAGCAUGAACCAAUCUGUUCUUCGAUAGUUUAAGCUUUUGGACUAUGAGCCUAUGACAAGCAGUAUCAGAGCGAGGUCUAGUGUGUCAUAACCCUUAUUAGUCAUGCCAACAUAAUGGAAGCAUGACAAGGUUGAAUGGAGGGAAUGUCAUAAUCCCACAUCGACGGUUAAAAAAGUUCCGCAAACCAUAGAAGAAGCUUGAGGUGGGUAUUUUCCUCUUCCAUUUUUUUUUAUGUUACAUGCCAUAAAUAAUAAAAAAUAAAAAAUAUAAGAAAAUCAUGCCAAAAUUUUAGUUAGAGCUUAUAUCUAGUCAAUUUUUUAUAUAUAUAUAUUGGCAUGAUUUGUGACAUCUUAAAUCCCAGUUAGAUCUAUGCAAUGAUAUAACUUUUCAAUUUUUGGAUAUUUAUUUUAUUUUUUAUUAAAAGAUAAUUUCAAAUAAAAAAUUGAUAAAAAAAUCAUGUAUAGAGGUCCAGCUUUAAAUACUUCUUGGAUAGAGGUCCAGCUUUAAAGUAAUUUUUAAAUUAAUUCAGCUAUUAGUUCUUAAUAUCUUCCCAAAAAAAACCGGUACCUCCUAUCAGCCAUAACUAAAAUUUAAUUUUCAAAAUUUUAUUUAAGUUAAAUAAUAUUUUUAGUAAAAUUAUAAAACAUAUAUCAAUUAAAAUUAUUUUUAAUAUUAUUAAUAAAUUUAUUUUUUCUACUAUUACCAAUCUGGCUGAUGAGGCUGUGCAUCAUGCAGGAAUCUUGGACUUUCCAGGAUCCCUCGGUACUUAGGAUCAUUAUCUGAAAUCGGAUUAUAUCCUUCCUUGUGGAUAUGUACCGUCUGGUAUCAUUGCCCCCGGCAUCAGUCAUAAUUCAGGGACAAAUAGAAGCUCGCAAUCCUCGGAAAACGAACCCAAUCAGAAACAUCAAAGAGAAAGAAAGCCUCCAAAGAAGAAAAGGUUCAGCUGUUCUUUUCCCAGCAGAGCAAAACAUACAAAACAGCAAACAAUUGCCAUUGGAAAAAUGUGGCCCUAAAGAUCGUCCUAGCCAAAAAAAUAAAAAUAAAAAAAAUUCUAUAUAGGAAAAUAGAAGACAAAAAAUACAGAAAAAUAAAGAUGAUAGAAGAAUAAUCCAGGUGAACAGACUCGACAAAGCUGAAUAGGAAAAUUUUCUUUGCAUUUCUUUUCCUAUCGUAAUAUGGCUAGGAGUCCUCUCAAUUGAACACAAGUUCUUUUUGUCUUUCAGUAGAAUUGAAUACAAGUUCUCUUAGGCAUUGAACAAGGUUCCAGUCCCUUACAUUUUAGCUAGAAAGAAAAGAUACAUAUACAGUUUCAAUGGAACACUAUCUUAUUAAUUACAAUUUUUUCCCAUAAUCAUAAGCAGGUCCUGCCGUGUCUGGUCCAAAAGAAGAUAAGUGAGAGACUACAUCAUGGAUGAUCAUAACCAAUUAUUACAUAUUUCCACAUAUAUUAUGCUAAAGAUUGACAGUCUUUGAUAUGUAUCAGCAAGCCGCCAGAAGCAUUCAUUCCUCCUUAAGUUCCAAUUCCCAGAAACAAAGCAUGUGUCACACAAGAUAGGAAGCUUAGGGUGCUUUUACAUUGCAACUAAAAGUAAAAGUUAGCAGCAAACCACAGGAGAUGAAAAACUUAGUAGCAAAAAUUCUAUUGUAUAAAACAAAUGAAAGAGUUUUAGUAUAAGAACAGAGCUGCAAUAAAAAAAAGCACCCCAACUGGUAGAAAUCACCAGAUAGGAAUAUUUAUUCAAUGGGUGGUAAAUAUUGAAUAACAUGAUUGUUCAUCCAAGACCCAUUUUCAGCAAGCUCAUUAACCUACUGUGCCAAUCUUUUAUGUACUUAAUAUCAAUAUCCUGGUCUUCAUUGAAAACUCGUACACUUUUCCAAUGCAUAUGUCAGAAAGCAACAAAAUUUCCUUUAUGCAGUAUCCAGCUGAUAGCAUCAGGGCUCUAAAUAACACCCAGCAACCUGAUCCUAACAGAAUAAUCAGAUGUGGCUUCCUGAUUGUGUUGAGUUUCGAUAUGGGUAUUAUCUCAACUGGUAUCCAGAGAACAGCUCUGAAACGAUAUUGAUAUAGCUUCUGCAUAUCUACCUACCACUGAAGAAGCAUUGUUCUGACUGCAUAGAUUCUAUUUCAUACUCUAGUCAUAUUCUAAUAGUAGGAUUUUAUUUUUCAUAUUAUGAUGAUUCUACUUCUUAACUUAUGGGUUUAUACUAUGGUCAAAGAAUCCUUAUUAAGGUAGAAUUAGUCUAAAAAUCCUAUUAUGGAUAUAAGUUGAGUUAGGAAAGCCUUAAAAUCAUUAGGAUUUUUCCUUGAAAAGUUUGUUCGCAUUUAACAUAUACAUUUUACUCUAUAGUGACUAAAAUUAUGUAACUUGCUUUCUCCAAAACCUUCUUUUUCUUUUGUUAGUCUUUUUACAAAUCUGCUUGCUAACAAUGUUUUUUGUCAUAGGAGCCCUUAAUUGUUUUUUUACAUAAGAGAGUUUAAUUCCUUUUUAUGUCAGCCCUCAUUCGUUUCUCCAAAAGAAAGGAAAACUUGUUAUGUAAGUUGCACUCUAAAGCUAAAAGAAGCCUAUGAUGGCCGAUGUAAGAAAUACUCCAUCAUUAUAAUGCACUCCAGAUUUUGAGCACUAACGUGAGGGUUUCACCUCUUCUUCUAUAUGGGGUGGUUACAUUCUUUGAGGGUGCAAAUCCUUCAAGCCAAAGUGCAAUGACUGGGUCCUUUUAUGUUGCCAAAUGACCAUCUUUUUCUAUCUCUGUCAGGGUUUUUCUAGCUUUUGCACUCUCUUGUUUUUUUUUCUCAGUCUAAGCCCUUAAGAACAUUAAUGAAAAUCACUUAAACAUCUUCAAAUCCCUUGAUAUCUAAUCCUCGACAUUUUUCUGACCUCCCAACAUGAUUCUUCCGUCUCUCUUUUCAAAAGUUCAUAGCUUGUUUCUCACAUAAGCUCCAUUACAACUCAUCUAAGCCUCGUUACCUAUUCCUUACUCUCACUCUGAAAAAAAAGAGGUCCAAUAUUAGGAUUCACAGAAGAUUACCCUUCUCGUUCACUUCAUCCAAAACUCAGGCAUGAUUUCAACUCCAGCAGAUUAUAUUUUACAGCUUUGUUUACAUAAACUUUAUUUACUCUAGCAGAUCUUUCUCUCUCCCCCCUACCAACCCCCUUCUCUCUCCUCCUCACCGGCCAUAUACAUGUAUAUGGUUGUGAAAGUAUGUGCACAUGUACAUAUGUACAUACAUGCAUCUAUUACAUAAUCUGUGUAUAUGUAUGUGUAUGCAUUACUUUUGUACUAAUGAAUGUUCUGAAUCUGUAACCCAUAAACUAGGUAUUAUCAUAAUAAUGCAUUAAAUUUAAGAUAGAAUGCACUAAAUAAAUGAUAAUCAAAGUUUGAAAUCCUAGUCAGUUGAAGCUACAUCAAAUCAUAAGGACAAAAGGAAGGUGUGAACCUCCUAUUUAUGAAUUUAAAUAGACUCUUGUCAUAAGUUUUGAAAGUAAUGCUUAAGUAAAGUAUUGAAGAUGUUGGGAAAAAAUGAUCAAAGGACACAAUAAUUCUAGAAGAUUUAUCGAAGGGCCACUUGGUAUUUGAUAAUGGCUUAGAGUCCAAAUCAAACAUAAAAAGAGAAAUGAGUACUAGACAUAUAUGAACUUGAAUCUAAUUACUUUAUUGAGUUCGGAUUAAAAUCUUUUACAGAUUUCACUAGAACUGGCAAUGUCAAAUAACAUCAUAAAGGCCAUCUUUCACUGAGAAAUUUUAGAGAAUACACAUGUAUGUAUCUAUAUGUAUCAGCAGUGUGCCUCUACAACUACUUAUUAUAAUUACCAUAUGAUUCAUCAUUUUUUCCAUAUAAACAACAUUUCAACCUCUGCAACACACUGCCCUAGUUUGCGUGAAGCUUUUGCACAAUAGACUUUAUUGUAACUAAUUUGGUCUUGUGAGAACUUCAAAGUAACUUAAGAAGAUUAGUACCAACAGAAGGAGAAGUUUGUAGCAAACUAAAUAAUAAAAUUAAAAGAUGAAGCGAUAUCUUCGUUUGUGUCGAGUUUUUUUUCCUUCUUUUAACUCUUGAUUUUGCAUACUUUGUUAACUCAUUCAGCCAUAGAUCAAUAGCAAUUUGACAACCAAUUAGGAGAAUAAAUUGAACUAAAUGUAAUGAAAAAAUAAAGUAAACCCAGCAAAGUAUGAUUUAAAGUUUCGCACAAAGCUCCAAAGUUGAAACCAGAAUAUUUUGAUUUCAGCUUGACUUGAUCCAAAAAUAUGGUUAGUCUCAGAAUUAACUUGUAAAACCAUACUGUUGCAUAUAUAAGCUAUUUAUGCUAAUGUUUUGUGGCCUCUUUUUUUCUCUGAAUAUUAGGCAGCACUUUCUUUAGAUUGAACUUGCAGGUUUUUAGAAGAUUUGGAAGCCUUGCAAUAUUAGGCUCUCAAGACAUUUGAAGAAUUUUCUUUUACUUCAAAAGGUUCAACUAAUCUAGAGCUCAUAUAUUAUAGACAUUGAGAUUUCGUUUCUUAUAUAGCCAUCAACUGGGAAAAUGACAUGUUGCAUCCAAACAUGUCUUGACAUUGUAUUUUCCAGGGAAAAAAUGAUUUUCAUAGUGUAACACUCUCGAUAUGAUACAUCCAAAUGUCCAAACAAAAUAAUAUCUUUUAAAUGUUAUUGUUGAUUACUUUGUUUAUUUACCUAUUUUUCCUAAUUUUAAUUGCCUACUCACAUUUUCUAAUUUUUUUCAGAUAUAAAGACCAAAACUGGAGCCAAACUGCCUAAACCACCAAAAUCACUGAAGCCGCUGAAAGCAAAACUCAUUUGGUCUGAAGGAAAACAAAGCUAAAACUAACUCUGCUAACCUUGCUGAAAACAUGAACCAUCUAAGCUUGGAAAUAUGCCCCGCACAUGGAAGCCACCUUUUAAGUUUGUUGAAAAGAUCUGUAUGGAGGUCAUUAAGUAUACAAGCAUACCUAUAUAUUCUGAUGCAUACAUGCAUGAACAUAGAAUGUAAAUAAUAUAUCAAAUACUCAUUAAUGCAUAGACAUAUACAUAUGUCAGCAUCUACCGAUCUUCCCAUGUUUUGUAUGAUUUAUUGUCUGCUUGUAAUUUUAUAUAUUAACAUACAUAGAAAGAAAGACACAUAUAUACAUAGACAUGCAGACAUACAUACACAAAUACAUCAAUGAAAAUACAUAACAUAACAUAAGAUUAUAUAUAUAUAUAUAUAUAUAUAUAUAUAUAUAUAUAUAUAUAUAUUACUAAUAAUAAAUAACUAACGUAACNNNNNNNNNNNNNNNNNNNNUAUAUACAUAUAUAUAUACAUAUAUAUAUAUGCAUAAAUAAAAUACGUAUAAACCACUAGCAUUUGGUAUGCACAAACACUAAUAUUACCUAAACUGCAUUCCUACUGGGAAGUUGGAAUUUUGGCCAAUAAUUUUUGACUUACUAAUGAAUGUAAGCUCCACUAUUGAUACUUUCCUUCUUCCAUCUUUUAGACUCUUUCCAAGUCUAGGAGAUGUGGAGAAUUUUUUCUCUUGAUUUCCUCAUCUUAAACUACACAUGAUGAAAGAUGAAUAUGCAUGCCUGUCUAAAGGCACUUUAGAUUUCAUGGCAGGCCCUACAUUUGUCAAAGGAUGUCUGGUAAAAGUUUAGCACCAUUUUUUCCUUCUGAAAGCUAGUUUCGAAAUUUUUCUCGAUCUCUAAUGGAUCAAGUCAAUCUUGAGGCAACCCAGUGCAUCUGGGAUAAGGCUUGUUAUUUGAGGUGUAAACAUUAAAAUCUCAUACAGCAGUAUCAGUCUGAGAUGUUUAGGUCUAACAUAUUUAUAGUUAAUACAAUAAGAUGCAUAACCAAUCUGCCACGAAAAAAAAUGGUUUAACAUAAAAAAAAAACAAAAGAAACCAAAGCUGUGAAUCAUAGAUUCACAAAACUGCUCCAUAUUAUUUCAUGAUUUGAUAUGAUAUGCUAAAAAUAGCAAUAUGGAAAGUUCAUGGACCAAUGUUAUUCCUGACUAAAAAACAACUAAAAUUUCCAAUAAAUAGUACAUAAAGGGAAAAAUGAAGAUAUGAUUCACUAAAUUUACUUCUGACCUUGGUUCAUAUAUAUGUAUGUGUGCAUGUAUAUGUAUAUGUGUGUAUAUGCAUCUGUAUAUGUAUGUAUGUACAUACAUAUUUCUGUGUGCAUAUGCAUUCUCAAUAAAACUAAAGCUCAUACAUUUUCUAAUAUACAUUAACAUUAAUAAAUUAUUCCAUUUUAUUUUAACUGUUCAUAUAAAAUAUGAGAUUUUUGGAGAAAGAUAGUAUACAUGAGUUUUACAACCGAAAAAGCAUACCCUACCUAGUCUGAUGAUUAGAGUAUCUUUAACAGGUUUUCUGCACCUUGCAUAUUAUUGUUCACCCAAUCAAGUCAAAGUUAUUGUUAGUCUUUAUCACGAAAACUGUUAUGGUUAGAGUAUCUUUUUAGGUUUUGAUUGUACAGAUAUGUACCAAUUCAAUAACCUAAACUAAUAAACAUACAAUCUUACUUGGAUAAUAUACACAGAUAUAUAUGACAUUGUAUAGUGAUGUUUAAAGCUAGGCAGUCCAAUUAGUACAUGGUGGUAUUUCAAAUUACCAUCUAUUUUAACGUCAAUACAGUCAUGCAUGUUCUGGAUGAUAAGCCAGAGAAGAAGAUUAACUAUUCGAAACAUGUUUCGCAAUCAUUUUUAAGUCUGCAUUUGGAGGUUGUAAUCUAAAAAAUAAUGACUUCUUUCAUGAAUUUAUAAUUUUUAAAUCUUAGAAUUUCAGGUCUUGUGGAAAGUAUUUGGUUGUUAGAGAGAGAAGUUCAAAAAACAACUAAGAGAGAAAAACACAAAUAUGAAAAGUAGAUAUUUUCAAUUUCAAGAUUUUAAGACCAUUUUGAGAUUUCAUCACACAACCAAACACCUCACCUUACAACAUCAAGAUGAGUAAUUUCAAAAGCCACGAAAUAUCAUGAUUUUCCAGUACAUCCACAUGCAGCCUAAGCCAUUUAAUAUAGUGUCCACUUCUCUCUCUUUUUUGUAUCAUUGUCCCUUUGAAGUACUACACCACUGCAUAGCAUUCCGUGUCUCUGUAACAAAACUCAGAAUUGUAGGGCGCGGUUAAUGUAGAAGUGGCACGAGCAUGUAUGAUACAUAAUACCUCUAACCAGGAUGGAUGAUACUAUGUACUUUCUACAUGCCUGCUCUUCAUAAGGCACUUUCAGUUGCCACUGUGAGCAACAUUGUAUGUUCUCUAAAUAAUCUCAAAAUUUGAAAAUUUUAUGAUAAACAUAAAAGUCUCCACAAAAACAUGAUAACACAAGCCCAAUCAGCAUGUUGUGAUUCUCACUGCAUAGUAGAAAUCAGCAAAGAGGAAGUCAAAAUAUGAAACAGUGAGUCGUUCAAUUUAAGAAACAAUAUUUGCUUAAAGAUGCUACACAUCCAAAACAACUCAACAUUGAUACUACAGAAAUAUGUCAAUUAAGAGCCUAGAAGAACGUAAGAAAUAACGGCAGUUAUAUAAAAUUGGUAGCAAAGGACAUACACAGCAUUCUUUCACAUACUUGAUUUCUUAUGUAUCACUUGAUGAGAUAAUUCAAAUUUAAUCUUCUGAAACAAUUCAUGAAAUGGUAAGAUCACUACUAAAACCGAUGAAGCAAUUUAUGCAAUUAAUAAUACAUACAACAAGACCCCGCAAGACCUACAUGACAUGAUUGAACCUAUACCAAAUUACUAAUCAAUAUUCCUGCAAAACUGAUUUCCUCCACAUUGGCUGUAAAUUAUGUCAAAGCUUGAGAUUUCUGGUUGUGGUGGAAGAUAUCCCCCUCGCGGAUGCUGACACAUACAGCAAAUGCACCAAACAGGGAAUUCUUUUAAAAAACUUUCCUUCAGAUGGACUGAUUUAAGGAAUGUGAUCUUCAAGAAGGCCCAUGCCUUUACAGAAAUUUUUCGCUCUAAACUCUGAUGAUUUUCUACCAGAGAAGAGAGCCAUUAAUCUGAGUUUAGUUCUGUCCAGACUUGCCCAAAGGCCACCCCUUGAGGCUGUUAGAGAUCCACCCAGCAACAAUUUCGUAGAUCUAGAAAGCUUGAUAUGAAUCUGCCUUAUUCUUCAAAUGAACGUUGGCAUAUUUUCUCAAGUAGCAAUGGCCAGUCUUCACCAAGCUGCAGUGGGUUUAGCUCCAUUGCUACCCUAAAAUCCUGUAGAGAUAUUGAACACAACUUUCUCAGAUCAUGUGUACCCUCUGAAGACCCACCACUACUCUGUACAUGCAUGUGCUUUCCCGGCCAAAAACCAUUUAUAGGCUUAGCUACAGGUUGCUUUAUUGAUUCGUGUCCUGACCUUUCUCCUACUAGCACAACACAUGACCUAAUCAGGUUCUUCAAGUAAGCAUCUAAGCCAUUAUUCAGUAAAUUAGCACAUUCCAUAGUCACCCCUCCCAAGCCCUGUGACCCUGCUAUUUUUUCCAUCCAUUUCUUCAAAGCCUCAGUACGGCGUAGCUCACCCUCAUCAUAGUUGCUACUAAAACUACCAGUGCUAGUACUAGUUACCAAUGGCAGACAUCUCCGUGCCCCACCAACACUAGCAGGACAGAAUGGUAUCCCGAGUGGAGCCUGAAGAUGACCUCUCUUGGAGUUCAAAUCAUUACUCUGUUCCACCUCCUCUCCAUCUUCAACCAGACCCUUGCUAUGUACAGAGGCCCGAUCAUGUGGUGACAAAUUCUCCAUCCGAGAUCUCUUUGCCGGCUGCUCUGCAGGCCCACCUUGAUGAUGCUGCACAGGUCUCUUCAAAUCGCAAGGACCCAAAAUGCAAUUCUCCCUGAAAAUAUCUUCAUCAGAGGGUACUAAAGAUAGGUGGCUUGGUCCAAGAGGAUUUGGGCGGUCCUUGAUCCUCCGGUCUCGAAUGCCAGACCUGACUUUGCGAGGUGAUGGUGGCAAGAUGUCCCCAUUGGACCAAAUAGUUGGCGAUGGAGUUGAAGCAGCAGGUGCCCGAUUAAUUCUGUCAUCUCCUUGAGGGGAUUUUUUCCCUGCACUUCCAAUGGGCUUCAGGGCGGCCUUGUCAUGAACCAGUGGAGGUGGGGUCUUGGCAUGAAAGGCAUUCUUAAGGAUUGAGCGGAUGAGCUGGUUGUGCAAUGGGAUGUUCUCGCGCCCAAGGAUCAAAAGGCAGAACUUGUUGAACUCUGGCUUGCUCAGCUUCUGGGCCAACAACUGAUUCAGGUAACCAAAAUACCGCUGGGCUCGCUCAGGGCCGAGCUUCUUGGCUAUCUGGGACUUGAGGUCGCCGAGACUGAUCCGGAUGGGGGGCGACAUCGUCGGUGGCGGCAUCUCUCAAUGCAGGGCAGCCAUAUAAUUCACCAGAUCAACAGAAUUAGGGUUCUCCUCUCGUUCUCUCUAUCCUCUCUCUUAAUUCAAAGUUAGGGUUUUUCUCCACCUUCUACAAACUACAUGAACCAAAGCCAAUUCCCUACUGCUCGGCCAAAACAAUGCGGACAAAAAUUUCACCUUUGGGGCACAAAACCCUAGGGUAAGCCGGGACAGAGAGGCCCACGCCCAAGAACAAAGAUCCCCAGCUCGAACUCCUCCAAAAACCCUGGCCGGAAACUUGAAUUCCGAUCCCGUGGAUCGCAACCCUAACGUGAACGGGACCUAGCUAGAGAAGCACCCAAUUCGGCGGCCCAGAGCUCGAAAAAGCUAUCUCUUUACAGAAGAAUUGCUCGUCGGGGAGCUUCCAAAGAUCGACUCCGCGCUCUGCGAUCGGGGAAUCCACUCGAACACGUCGGAUCGCAGCGGGCCCACGGUCGGAGUGCGGGAUUGGAGGAAUCAGAGCGGGAGAGAAGAAGAAAAAGAGGAGGGCAGGGAACGACCUAAUCUUUGGGAAGAGAGGGGAAGGAGGGAAGGCUGAAGCUGACCUUUGGGAGCUCGAAGUGGGGAGGGAGGCGGGGAUUCGAAGCGCAUCACCGAGCGCAGAGAGAGAGAGGAGGGAGAGAGAGAGAGAGAAAGAGAGCUCGAAUUCUCUGUAUCUCUGCUUCUCGUCUUUGCUUCUGCUUUGCUUCGGGCUCUCCUCGGUCUCUCUUCACCACUACGUCUCUCUUGCUCGCUCGCAAGGGGCUGCAGGAUGGGAUUGAGCUCUCCUUCUGUCGCUCUCGCUCUCUCGAUCGCUGAAAGAGCUAAAAAAGAUAUUUUCGCUCUCUCUCUCUCUCUCUCUCUCUCUCGUUUCCCCCCUUCUCCCUAUCGGCCCUUUGUUUUCAAUUUUUAAUUAUGCUUCCCUUUCCGUGUUUUUUUUUGUUUUGUAUCUUUUUAUGUUUGUUUUCCGAGUUUGCCGAGGAUUUGGGCUUACUGGCAUUGACGGUUAAGAAGUUGGAGUCAAUUUUCUUCUUCGAUGACGAUCACAAAUUAGUAUUAUUAUUGUUUAUUAUUAAUAUUGUUAUUAUUGUUGGAAGAAAAAAGUAAAUAAAAUCAAUCUUCGUGAGUUCAUUAUGCUCAAUUUGAGUGAGAGCGUACAUGAUGGCAAAUAUAUUUCUUUGUACAUGGAAUGAGAGGUAGGCUUUAACAUAGGAGUAGAUCAUAACUGCCAAAAGAUGUACCAAGGAGGAUUGGAAGCUAGGCUGCAAGGGAUUGAGAUGGAUUAGUGAUAGGCAAAAAUCCAAUUUAAUUCAUAUUUAAAAAAGUCAAAAUCCAAUUUCCUUUGAGUUGGGUCGGAUCAGAUUUACUAGUAAUUUAUUACUUCACUGGAUUUUUAAUUAAAUCAUGCCCAAAAAUCCAAUCAUAAUAGCAUAUUUAAUUUGUUAACUACAUCACAAGCAUACUGUGUAACAAAAUAAUGUUAAACAGCAUUUCAAAAACACAUUAUAUAUAAUAGAUUUCAUUGAUAACUCAUAAAAAUCAACAAAUAAAUUAUUAAUAAGCUAUACUCGGAGAAGAAAACUAUAUCAUAUAUUCGAAGAGGAUUUGAAAAAUAUGUUAUACUAAUUUGGACACGAUUGGGUUUGGUUAAGGUUCAGAUUGAAAAUUUAGUUAUCCAAAUUCAUGUCGAAGCAAGUCAUAUUUUUGAAUACAAACUUAAUCCAAAUAACUUCAACAUUGGAUUAAUUUUUGAUUGAUUCCGUCGCUCUUUUCAAGUCAUAUAGGAAGCCUUUUAAUUGCUUUGAGGACUCAAUGGAGGACCGAGCAGAGGUUAUCAAAAAUAACUAAUAGCUUUUAGUGAGUGAACUUAACAUGGAUAUAGGAGUGCAAAUGGGUCGAGUCGGACUGGAAUAUGAGCAACCCCGACCCAACCCAGUUUUUUUGUUCAGGUCCUAAUGUUGGAUCCAGACUCAAUCUAAUAGAAUAUCGGAUCGGGUCAGAUUGGGUUCAUUACUAAAAUUUCUGAUCCAAUGGGUCAAUCGGCUUAGGUCGGGUCCAUAUAUAAUUCGAUCUCAAUUCAAAAAAUUUGGAUUUCGAUCGAGUCCAAAUAAAUCUGAAAAAGUAUGAUUGUAUCUGUGAAGCAAAAAGGAGCCUUAAUGAUUACCCUUUUGGAUAUUGAAGGACAAAAACCACAAACUAGAUAAGGUUGACUACCUGCAAAAACAUGCAAUAUGGGAAACAACCCAUGUCUUCAUACUUAGGCCUUUUCUAGAUCCAUUUGUUACUUUGUUGCUACAAAUGCUCAUUAUUCUUUAAUAAGCCUUCAAAACCAAGCAAUAAAAUUGUAUGAAUUAUUCUAUAUUUUAAAUUGAAGCUGUAAACUUAAGAUGCAAAAUACUCUUCACAUACAGGACAUGCACAUCAAUCAUAAGGCAUAACUUAAAAAACAACAUGUGUUCGGACUUUUUCGGGCUCAAAUAGUUUACUGAGUUCGGUUCGAGUCGGGUUAUAGAGUUGGGAACCCAAAAUUGCUCAAAAUUCAAAUGGGCCGGAUUGAGUCUGAAUUUAGUAAACUCAAAUUCAGCUCGAAAAAUGAAAUGGAUCCAAUUUUAGAAUCUGACCCGGCCUCACAGGUCCUCUAAAAUGAGUCGAAUCGGGUCUAAGCGGGUCAGAUCCUGGGUCAACCCACCCUAUUUGCAACUUUACAUGGGUAGGAGUUGGAAUUGCAUUUAGCGUAGAUUGUAAAAUUAAGAAUGGCCUUCUAAUACAUUUUGACGACUUAUACAAGUCCACCCAAUGCAUAAUAGACUAAUGUGCUUGUCAAUGUUAAUUGCACCCCUCACAACUGUCAUAUAAAAGGAUGAUGACGCAUGAAGUAACUUGCCAACUAAUCUGGAUGAUGUGGCAUAUCAUUUGACAUUGUCAUAGCAAUUAGUAUUGUUAAUAAUAUGAAAGAAACAAAAAGCUUGAAGGCACCAAGAAAAACCAUGAUUUAAUAAAUAUUUUUCUUUAGAUUGCAUAUAUUUAAACAUGGUGACAUGAAUGACAGUUUUAUAACAGACCCUCCAAAAAGGUGGGAAUGACCCCACCAAUAAGGUUUCGCUUGUUUUUGGUUCGUAAUCAUGUAAGUGCAAAGUUAAUGUACGCAAUCUUAGGGCUUUAUGUUGGUUGAUUUUGUAAAGAAUAAUGCGGAUGGUGCUGCUGCCCGCGCUGCGAAGGGAAGGUGCAUCGAAGGGUCAUUUCAACAUUUCAAUAAACUAAGAGAGAGAGACCAUGGCCAGAUGAAGCGCUGGCAUCGAACCACUAGGCAAGAUCAAUUGAAAGACUGUCUUAGGCGGCGUCGAAAGCAGCUAAUUAGGAGCCGUGCAAACUAAACUGAGGUUUGUUCAACAAUGGGAGUUAACUCGUUGCGCCAUGGGAGUUACUCCUUGCACAACCAAAUGAUCCCUUCAGUGUGUGUGUUAAAGCAGACUUCAGUCUUAUCUAAUGCUUCCUUGGCUAGUGAUGGUCUGCUUGCAAUUGAGUUGUAAUUUCUUGGAUCAUGCCUUUAUCUGUAGAGCUGUCACAGAGCAAUUAACAAUAUUAUAAGCCAAACAGGCAGCAGCUCCAACUCGAUUAACUUGGCAGAGCAAAUCUCACAGAUCAAUGUAACAACAAACUUAGCCAAACAAUUACAAUUCGAUUCACUUGGUAGAGCCAAAGAUUCGAACAGUUUUGAUAACUCUAAAAUGAGCAUUUAUUUCCAACUGAUUCAGAGAUUUCAAGACAUGGUGAAAAGAAUUGAUUAAGUUCUUGAAUUGCGCUAUCAGCUGGCAAAUUUGGAAGGACAGCCUUUCUGGCCGUAACUUGUCUGAAUGGGACUAACAAUACAAAGUUUGGUGCUUUCCAAAUCAGUUAAGAUAGUACAAUAUCUGUGAUAAUCCACCAGACAAAAUGAAAAGGUUUAAUAGAAGGAUCCUCACUGCCGUAUAAAUUUCAGACCCUGAGUAAACAAGUUUUACAGCAGAAGGCAACGAGCCCCAUUAAAAAGAUUAAUUCAUUCAAAAAGGGCCAUUAGACCAUUACAUGCCCCUCUUUCUCAUCCUCAAGAACAAAGUUUCAUGACAUGACAUGCUACGAAAAACAAGCAACAGGUCAUGCUUGAAUUCAUGUACCCUCCGGUUUGGGCCGAAAUGCCUUUUCUUAUUGAUAUAUGUGGACCAUGAAAAACAGUUGGUUAUUAUUGCACAGAAACCGUGCCUCGGGAUUCAUCAUUGUCUAUAAGAUGGGAAAAAGAAAAGAACGGGAAUGGGCAAGAAAACAGCUAGAACUCACUUCUGGGCAUCGAUACAGAAGAUGCAACAGGAGAGUGCCUGCAAACAACAUGAUAUACAAAUAUGCAGAUAACAAAUAUAAUUAAAGGGAAAAAAUGAUUAAAAAACAAAAGAACCAUCUGCUGAAUAAGAACAAAUAAUUAAAAAAAGGAAAAAAAUAAACAAAUCAUUUUUACAAUUUCACUUAAACUAGAACCUUGGGAUGGAGCUAAGGAGUUUAACAUCGCAAUAUAAUAUCAAAUUCAUGAUUUUAAAUUUCAGCCCAACAUUCUGAGACUGAAACAAAGACUUCUCAUUUCGCUUGGAAGCAAUCCUAAAUAGAGGUAAAUUUUUAAUUUAGCUGCAAUAACCUGCAGGUUGAUAUUAAAUGUAUACACGGCCAGCAAUAAUAAGUUUUCAAUCAUUUAUUUACUUCUUUAGAUAGUAAGAAGAAUUAAAUAUAUAAUCUUGGAAAGGAAACAUUGUAUCUAUAUAUGUAUAUAUGUGUGUACAUGCAUCUUGGAAAGUUUUUAGAAAUUUUUCAGGAAUUACGAGAGACUUUCGAGGAGAGAGAGUGAGGGAGCAGGGUGCAGAAGAAUGGGCUUGUGGUGUAAUUUAGCUUUGUGAAGCUAGAUUCACAAGAUUUGAGCUUGGAUUCAUGAGAUUUGAGAUCAAAUCUCCUAUAUAGGGUAUCAAGUUUCAAAACCUAAGAGGUUUUGCUAACUCUUGUUGGGCGAAAUCAUAGACCGCCUUUAUGUACUAAUCUAAUAGAUCUAUCAUGAGCUACUUGAGUUAAACUGAAAGUUUUGCACUUUUCAGUAAAAAAUAUAAAAUUAACAAUUUUUCUUUUUUUUAAUUUAAUUAUUUAUCAAGUGAAAUAAUAUAUUACACUCUAAAUUAGUGUACAACAUAUAUGUCAACAUUUUAUUAUAUAUAUUUUUAAAUUUUUUGAUAAUUAUAGCCUCAACAAUCAAAAUUAAGAUACGUCGUCUCGGUAUCAAGCUUCGUAUUGAUGCCACACUAUCAUUGUGUCAAUAUAGUAUGGUAUAAAGCUGGUUUAAUAUAUCGAAUAUCGGUACGCCUUCCGUACUAUAUACUAGUAUCGAACCGAUACGGUGCACUCUGUACCGCCUGGUUCGGUACGAUAUGGCAUACCACGAUCAAAACUGUACAUAGAGUUUUCUUGAGAAAUGAAAAAAUAUAUAUGCACCCAGAGAUCUCAAAAAGCACAAUAUGCUCUAAUGAUUUUUAAAGCAGUUUUUUACAUUAGUAUUUUCCUAAUUUUAGUUUAAACCUCUUUUUUUCAAGCUUUUAGUUGAAAACUGCUAAAACAAAAUGGAAAUCCAAACUGCUAAAACAAAAUCUAGUCAGCUCAACUGAAUCUCCGACUAAGAUUUCUAACCUCAUUCAAAAUUACUCUCUUAAAAUAAUAAACCAAAAUACCACAACUAUAAAUUGAUGUUAAAAUUAAAACUGCCCUUUCACAUUGGUUCUAUGAUUGAUGGAGCCAUUUCAUUAUUCACUUAUAGAAGUACAUACAGCAAUGUGAUAGUUACAAAAACAUGUGAGUCCACAUGUAAGGUUUAGAAUCCAAAAGCCUAAUCGAUACAGGCAGGUUCAUGAAAAGAUCUGCUCAAACGCUGGUCUAAUGGCACAGUCAACCGCAUCCUUUACUUGUCAAAUGUUCUGUUAUCUUGACAAUUUAUGACUUGGUGCACUGGAAGUUGGACUGCCAAUGAACCAGUCUUGAAAUACAAUAAUUUUAAAGUACUCCACGACUGGGAUAUGGAACAAUUACCUAUAUAGGAUGUACACAGUGAGGCAGCCGCUCAACCUUGAAGAACCUUUUGAGGAUCCAACUGCCCGCUACAGUAACUGGAAGGAACAGCAGAGAGCUCUAGCCUUCCUUUCCAUUCCUCACCAGGCUUCAGAGUGAUGGGCUUCUCGAUGGAUGCGGCCUCCACGCAUAGCAUAUAUUUGUACUCAUCAUCCCCAAAAUCUGCCAGGGCUUUGGCUUUCCUGUCCCAAGGAUUCCAUACCACUGCAUGGAGGAAAAAGAUAUGCCACCAAGGACUUCAUCAUAAGAUUAUGAUUUCAAUUUUCUAUUUCCCUACCAUUCUUCAUGCAAGCAGUAAAUAUGAUGGGAAUCCUCUGAGGUUCAAAGAAGAUAGAAGAUAAUAGGGGAAAAAAAGGAAAAUAGAUACUAAUAUCAUAACUCACCUGCAUCUGGCAGGCCAUCUUUUCGCAAAACAAAUGUCCUUUUCUUUUCAUGAUCCAGAAUUGCGAUCUUGGUUGGCGUGCUUAAAUAUAUCUUAUGCACCUUUUUUGAACAAGAGCGAUAAUAUUAAAUGGCAAAUUAUAACAGCCUAUAUGACCAUGUUGAUUUACUUACUUCAGACUCAAAUGUAAUUGCAUCUCCUUGUUCUGUGAAGCGCUCCCUUUCCUUCAAGUUGUCAAGGUAAUCCAUUGUCUCCAAUCCUUCUACCCGCACUUCACUGAAACAUCUACUUGAAAUUUAGGUCCAAAAAAGUGGGCGAGGAAAAAAAGGAUCAUGAGACUGCAUAUUGCCAAAACUUUAAAAAAAAAAACAAACAUUAGAGGUAGUGCUAAAUAGGAACGCUUGACUAUAUGAGGAUUCAUAAAGACAACCCCAAGUAAUUUAGACAAGGCUUGGUGGUUAUAAUUUUGGUUACUAUUUGUUUCUAAACAAGCAGCACAAAUUUACCAAGCAUAUAAGUGGAUGAAAUAAUAUAAACUUAUGGUGAAAGAUCUUUUUGGAAGAACAAACAAUUUCUAAUUGAUCUAAGAAAUAUUAGCAAAAAGUUGGCAAGACAAAUUUAUCCUUUUUAUAUAUUUAAAUUGGAAUGAGGAUAAGGAGAGGCAAAAAAGGCAUGACUUGCUCAUUAAAAUGCUUAGCAAACUAGAUAUGAUAGAGAUUUAAUGGUGUUAGUCUUCAGAAACAUAUGACUAUUCUGUGUAUGCACAGAUACUGUAUUUGUAUCCAAAAUCUAAUGUAUGACCAUGUCAACACUCAUAUUUGAUUGGUGAACUUUGGUGUACUCAGCUGCGCAGGUGUGCGCACGCGCAAACAUACAUGUCCAGAAUUUAUCUAAAGUAUAAAUAUGUCAAUAUCCAAUUAUGGGUGAAACCAAUGUAGGUCAAUCAGAUAUAUUAGCUAUAUCCACAUUCAUGACUAUAUAUGGAUGGUGAACUGAAUAAGAAUGAUUCAUAUCUAUUUACAAGAAAUUAAUGGGCACUGAAUAAACCCAAGCAUAAACUCAUAUAGCCACUGUAUUUCUGUUCAUAAUUUCCUUUGCCCUGAUAAUUUCUUUAUACCAAACAACCGCCUCUAAUGCUUGCGACCUCAUUCUUUCAAACCCACAAAAAGAGAGAUAGAGAGAGAGAACUAGAGCAAGAGAUGAUGCCCAUUUACAUAUGACUUCCAAAACACAUCUAGUUCCUUAUGCAUGGGAUCUAGAAAAGCUCAAACAAAAUCUCAUAAAACCACCCUAGCAGGUUGUGUGCCCAGGAAGCAUUUAAUCAAGCAAUUAAUGUCAAUGCCCCUUUCUCAUCUUUCCUCUAUUUUACUUGAACCUGAAAGCAGCCUGAUCCACAAUCAGGAGGUUUCAACUCAAGAACACCAGCAUGGAUAGAUUACAAGGCCAAGCCAUGCCUCUUUGGGAUAGCCUACUAAUGAGAAGCAUCACUAACAGACCAUGAAUGCACACAAGGAAUAUGCACUUGCAAAUCAGCUGUGAGCUCUGCAACAUGAGCAUGAAUUCUAUGAUAGUAACGCUGCCAAAACCUGAUUCUGCAAGGACUCAAUUAGACGUAUGUUCAGUGCUCUUUAGUUAACUGAGAGACAGAAGGGUGUAAAUGACCAUCCAGACAGAAAAGGUGCCCAUGUUAUUCCAUGUGUUCGAGUUUGGACCCUGGAAAUGACCAUACAACAUUCUAGAGGUUCGAUAUAGGAUGAGUAGUCAUGAUUACCUAUAAGGUCAGGACUCUUAUUCAAAUGGAUGGCUGACAUUAGUUAUAGGAGCUAAAGUUUGAAGUUGUAGUUAAAUAUUAUUUUACUUCUUUUUAAGAUAUAUCAGUAUUGAAUCCAAGCUUACUUAUUGACUUCAAUAGAUUAGAUAAUAAAACAGUCUAGUUUGUUAUAUAACUCUCUAUUCUUACAUUAAAUAUAUCAAGUCCAAAAGCCCCAGAACACUUCAUUCCUUUUCCUCUAUUUUUUGUUCCGCUGCAACAAAUUUCCGUAUUGCUCAAAAUGGUGAAUGUUCAUACAACUACUUAACUCCUUAUGAAUACAUAUUUAUAAAAGACAAGGCACAAACAUACAAGAAAGUUAGCAAGAUUUAAGUGACAAACCUGAUGUCAGAGACAGAAAAGUAUGUGUGAUAUGCAAAUGUAAAUGAGAAUGGUUUUCCAUCGGUAUUGGUGUUUCUUAUGCGCGAUGUCAGCAUCAAAUCUCCUCCAGGUGCCAGAGCAACUCUUAGACGAAAUUCAUAACUGCCAUGAUAGAAAAUCAACAGUAGUGGUGCAGCGAAGCAUAGAAUGAUGCAAAAUAAUGUGCAGUAAAGAACUUAAUAGAAAGAAAAUUAGACAGACAUGAUACUGAUAGCUUGUGUAUAAUUUAUUAACAAAAAAACAAAUCUGAAGUCCAUCAGCAAUAUAGCAACCUGUGAGGCCAGAUCUUGAAGUCUUCUUCAGAUGGUUUGAGGAUUAAAUCAAUGAAAGUAUUACUGGCACUGUUUGCUGGAAAAGCUGGCGGGUUAGUGUCGAUCCUCCAAACCCUGUUCCUGGCAAAGCCAUGCUGUUCAAGAAUUCCAUGGUUCCCAAACUGCAUGUGCAGAUGUUUUUUUGGCUGGUGAUGACGAUUAAAGUACAAAUGAAGUGUAAUUGGAUCAUAAAUACAUAAUAAGAAAUAGUCAUACUUGAGGAAAGCAUAUUGGGAUGCCCCCACGUAUUGCCUUUGGAGGCUUGAAAAAAGCCUAUAAAUAAUAAAAAGGGGGAAGUUAGACAUGUAUAUCAGAUGAUCGAGAGCAAGAUAAAUGUCUGAAUUAGCAAACCAUUAAAUAUAAGACGGGCAGCUCCCCUGAUGUAUAUCUACCUAAGCACAUGCUGUGUGAAGAAACCCUUAUGUUGAACUUAAUUCAAUCUAAAGAAGGGACAACAUCAAACCGACAUUAAGAGACAGAUGUUACAUCUAUCUCUGACUCCAAUGACCAUAACUAAUUAGCCUCAUAAUGAGGUACUGUAAAUAAAAUGAAAUCAUGCACUUUGUUCACAUGAUGACCGCAAAAUAGCUAAUGAAACAUAAAAAAGCCUUGGGAAGGGUACAAAACAUACAAAACAUUUGAACAGCAGUUUAAGCAAUGAGGAAUUUUCCUUCUUGUUUCAUGGCCAAACCCUUCAAACAAGAGGAUGAUGGUGUCAUGCAAUUGUAGGCCACAAAGAGAAAGAGUCUAAAUAGGAGUAUCAUAUUGACAUAAAAAGAAGGCAUAAGAGUAACUUUUCAAGAUAAAGAUGCAACACACUGAUAUAUGCAAUUAGAAAAAAAAGAGAGAAAUAAGACAAGGAAAAAGCUAUAAUGAAAACAAAGAUAUUCAAAAUAUGCAUAGGGUAGGGUUCAAAAGAGAAAAAAAUGAACAGUUGGUUACGUAAAAGGAAAAAGACUUCAAAGCGUAUGGUUAAAGCCUUGAAGGAGAUAUAGAAAUAGAAGAAAGUGAUACAGAUACCCCUCAUGCUCAUGAAACAUAGCCCUCCAAAAGGUCCAUUACAUUCACCAUGAAAUAGACAAAUAUCUAUUAGUUAUUAUUUUUUAACCUCCAACUCAAACUUGAGAUAACAUCUCCAUAGUAGAAGUUAAAUAUAACAUCAAAAAUAAUACAAUACAAUCCCUAGAGAAACUGAUCCUUAGUUGCACAAAGCAUGAAUGAGCAUAGAAACAGCUCUUGGAUGGCACCAAAGCAGCAAGUGGUGAAGCUAGGAAGUGAUGGCAAGCAGGAGUGCUUAAUUAAUAAAUGUUCGAGUAGAAUGUAUUUAAAACAGGCAUAGUCAUCCCAGGCAUCCAAUUAGGCAGCAUGAUAGCAAUGAACAUCUGCUAGAUGGGGGGAUAAUUCCCAAAACCUCAAGUACAAACCAAGGGUUCUAGUAGGGAUGCAUUCAGACAGCCUGCCUAAGGUCUACAGAAUGGCCUGGUAUCCAGUGGGUUUUCAUCAGCACCCAUCCAUUAUCUUUUCAUAUUUCCUGCUCAUGUACUCCCUCUAAAUAAAACAUAAGUAUUUCACUAGUAUUAUAUUAUUUUUCUGGUAACAACUAGCAUUAUAUUAUUAUAGCAAAUUAGCAAUAGUAUUCAAAUAUGGAGGUUCCUGAUGAUACAAUAAAUAACAAGGAUCAUUUGAAUAUAUGUCAUCUUGUAGAACUUUCAUGCACCUAUUUUGUAAUCCUCGGCAAAAAAAAAGAACCAAUGUUGGUACCUUGCUGCUGACAAAAAGCAUCUCCUCACCAUGGAUAUUUUUCCAAGAUGUUACUUGACCUCCAUACAAAUACACCUGCCAAAAGACGAAUGGAUAUAAACACAAUAUCAGAGUGGCUACUGCAGCCGCAACAACAACAUGAGCAUCUUUUUAGUUUCCAUUUUAUCAGGAAGUUGAUAUUAAUCUAAAUCAUGCAAGUAACUUUAGAUAUAAACAAGUAAUCCUUAGUUAAGAAAUUUCAGCAUAGAGCAAAAAAGACAUGGCAUGGAGCAGAUAUCCUAAAUCAUGCAAGCAACUUUAGUCAUAAAUAAGAAACCUGUAGUUGAAAAAUUUGAGCGAAAAAAGAAUGACAGAGAGGGGUUAUCCAAGUUGUCAAAAAUACUCAACAAGGCAAAUGGAAGCAGGGUAGAGACCAGCAAGCACAGUAUGCCUCCAUUUAAAAGAAUAUCACCAUAGGCAGCACAACAACAGAGUAACUGCUAGGUAUAAAGCACCAAAUUAUGGGAUAUAAAUAUUCACAUUUCAAGGGCUUUUUCAUGUAAAUGUAAGCUCUAAACCAUUAAAACAUGUUCCAACUAAUUCAUUCAAGAAACAUGCACAUUACCAAAAACAUGGGUAUGUUAACGUGGUACAUAAUAAAAUAAGAUUAAGAUUAACUAUGCAUAUGAAACAAAUUCAUAACGACUCGUAUAUUCAAUCUUUACAAAUUCUUUCAUCUCUAUAUGCAAGAAAUUCACAUAUUCAAUACACAUGAUUGAUUGAAGAGAGAUUAUUUGAUGGAUAAACGUGAUCCCAUCGAUCAAUGAAAUAUUUGAGGUCUGCUUCUUGCCAUUUUUAUUAACAUGAACUCACAAAAUAAACCCCCAAUAGAGAUAGUAUGAUCAGUGUUAAGAAAUACAGACAUGCAGACAUUACACAUCAAAAUAUUUGUGGACACAAAAUACCAAGGAAAUCAAAAGCACUAAGUGUAGUUUUGUUGGGCCAAGUGAUCUCUAAGAUGUGGUUGGCCUGUGCCAGAAGGAUCAGCACUAAGACAUGACCUCUUUACACAAACCAUAAAUGAAAUCACCACUAAAAUUCAAAUAAGAUGUGCUGUUAUGCAUUCUGCAAAUUGAUAAAGUCCUGACAAUAGAACAAGGUUAAAUGCUCAAUUGUAAUUAAGAAGGAACGGAUCCGAAAAUAAAGGCUUAUGAAUCAGUUGUAAGUGUUGAGCAAAAACAAAAUAUCGAAAGCUACUUGGAAACGAAAAUGGAAAUGAGGAUACUAUGAGUCAGUUAUCAGUUUUGAGAUAAAAAAAAUGGAGAUAUAUACAUAUAUAUAAGCAUUUCUAGUAAAAUUAGAGGCAGGCAGAUAAAGAGGAGAGACACUUCAAGGAAUGUCAUGUGAUCGAAGCCUUCCUUGGCAACUUAAAGGAAGACUUAGUAAAGAAGGAUCUGACAACGAUAAUAAAGCCCAACUUUUAUGGGAUAAAAAAAGAUGUUGGUAAUAUUGAGGGUCUAAGAGAACAUAAUGAGUAUGCAUGGUAAAACUAGGAAGAGGACGAAUAUAUUAGAGGAGAGAAGGAGGUUGCAGCAAUUAAGAAAUAGUUUGGGCACGUGCAACCAAGCUUUUUUGAGGAGGCUCGAGUAUAGGGGAAUGCUUGAAUUAUUUCAAAGGGUCUUAGAACAAGCCAGACGGGAUGGAGGUUGCAAGAAAGGAUUACCAAAUCCAGUAGUAACACCGGAGCCAACUCAAAUUGUUAUGGUGAUGGGUUCUCGAAUCAUAAAGUAAUAUUUGAAGCACAAAAAAUCAUAAAGGGUAUCCUCAGGAAAGAAGGGAAUGUUAGACGCAUCAUGAUUGUAGUUAGCUUCACCUUAGUUUAUUGCAUCAUAGGUAGCAGGGAUGGUAGCAAGGUGAAACAUCCAAUAUUAUCGUGGCAAGUAUAAAACACAAUUGUUUAUGCAUCUAUAGCAGCAAAAGUAAAUAAAUAGCAGAGGGCCUUUAUUUCGCAACAUAUCCAGUUUGUCCAAUCUAUAGUAGAACAAAUCUAGGGAAGAUUGUUAUAAUUUCUUGUAUCGUAAUAACCUAUAAUUAAAUAGCACUUGCAUAGUAAGAUAUUAACAUUCUUUGAGGAUUUAAAUUAUGAAAAUUAGUGAUAUUAAAAAUAAAGAUCAUACAGAUUUUAGACAUUUAAACACAUGAAGUACUUUUAUGUGGAUUAAAUAUCACAUGGAAGAGAUAUGAUUUCUUGUAUGGAACAUAUUACUAGGCCAGAGUUCGGUGAAAUUUGACCAAGUCUAUUGAACAAUGAAAUUUACAUGAUUAACAUUAUCCACGUGGAGUAUGAUUUCUCAGAUUCAAUCCAAUAUUAGACAAUAGGUUGCUCUGACCUUUUAAAAAUUUUUCAGCCAUAUACUGCGUCAUAAUAAUAAUAGAUAGUGCUAAAUUUGAAGGAGUAUUUUCUCUAGAGACUGGUCAUCUGUUGUACGCUUGCUUGGACGCAACCUACUAGCAAAUGAUAGCAUGCUCUUUGACAUUUUAACUAGGAACUCUCAAAUCAUGGAAAAUAAUAACAAAUAACAUUGUCAAUAAAGUUGCACAGAAUUUGCAUUCCAAAACCACGAGUCUACAAAAGAAAAGGACAGAAAAGGAACGCCCUUAAAAAAAUGAAUCUGUCCCAAUUGUCCGAUGAUGUGACUAGUUGAAGCGCCAAAUGGUUGGAACAACUUAGAACCAUUAAGAACAUACUUAACCUAUUCACCCAUCCCUAACCUUCCCUCAUCUGCCUUCUCUCAGAAUUUUCUGAUAAAAGUCUUAAGAUGGUCACCUCAAGCCAAUUAAAAGCAAUAAUGUUUCUAUAGCAAAUGCAUCUAGUCCUAGCUAUGGCAUCUUGCAACCUUUGGAGUUCUGAAGAUUUCUCCUGUACCAACAUUUGUUAAAUCUGUAAUCCCUGAUUAAGAGUACUUCAUCAGAAAGCAACUCUAUUUUGAAACUAAGAAUAAUAAUCAGAAUUUAACAACAAUAACAAGUUAGCUCAGAAAUACUAUAUGCUUUUGUAAAUACUGAAAUGUUAUCAGGAUAAAAGGCGCUCAGUAUAAAACCUAUGAUAAAAAUCAUACUUUUGAGGUCCGACAUGACUUCCCUAUGUCAUACCUAUCAAUUACGCAAAGAUUUGUAGGAUAUAUAUGUAUAGCACAAAAAAACAAAUAGGCAUAAAAGUUUCAAA